GGUUGUAUUGCCUCGUCUUCAAAAGAUGGUAAAAAUGGGAUCUCAAAAACAGUGAGAGAAGAAAGAGCAUAAGUUGAAAAAAAUGUAAAGCCAAAUUUGGAAAAAAAAAUAAAUAAUGAUCUCAUAUAUCUGCACACCUUAAAAGAGUUAAAAAAACAUAUAUAUAUUAAGAUACAUCUUAUUAAUUGUUAAAUAUUUGAGUAAGGACAUUAUGAUUUAAUUAAAUAAAUUUCAUUUGAUAAGAUGUGAGCUACUUCUAUUUUGACUAUAAUAAUAG
rnacentral:misc_RNA from 1 species